ACACUGAUGAAGAGUCCCACAAUAAGACGAAACGAUCGUCCUAUGU
rnacentral:hammerhead_ribozyme from 1 species